rnacentral:rRNA from 1 species
GACGUAGGAUGCAAGCGUUGUCCGGAUUUAUUGGGCGUAAAGAGUUCGUAGGUGGUUUGUUAAGUCUGAUGUUAAAGACUGGGGCUCAACCUCGGAAAUGCAUUGGAUACUGGCAGACUCGAGUGCAGUAGAGGCAAGUGGAAUUCCAGGUGUAGCGGUGAAAUGCGUAGAUAUCUGGAAGAACACCGGUGGCGCAAGCGACUUGCUGGGCUGUAACUGACGCUGAGGAACGAAAGCCAGGGGAGCAAACGGG